CCUACGGGGGGCUGCAGUGGGGAAUAUUGCACAAUGGGGGAAACCCUGAUGCAGCGACGCAGCGUGAGUGAAGAAGUAUCUCGGUACGUAAAGCUCUAUCAGCAGGGAAGAAAAUGACGGUACCUGACUAAGAAGCCACGGCUAACUACGUUACAGAAGCCGCGGUAAUACGUAGGGGGCAAGCGUUAUCCGGAUUGACUGGGUGUAAAGGGAGCGUAGACGGCAGGACAAGUCUGGAGUGAAAUCCCGGGGCUUAACCCCGGAAGUGCGGUGGAAACUGUGCGGAUGGAGUACAGGAGGGGUAAGCGGAAUUCCUGGUGUAGCGGUGAAAUGCUUAGAUAUUAGGAGGAACACCGGUGGCGAAGGCGGCUUACUGGACUGUAACUGACGUUGAGGCUCGAAAGCGUGGGUAUCAAACAGGAUUAGAUACCCCAGUAGUC
rnacentral:rRNA from 1 species